rnacentral:rRNA from 1 species
GUAGCGCAGCUAACGCGUGAAGUUGACCGCGUGGGGAGUACGGUCGCAAGAUUAAAACUCAAAGGAAUUGACGGGGACCCGCACAAGCGGUGGAUGAUGUGGAUUAAUUCGAUGCAACGCGAAAAACCUUACCUACCCUUGACAUGUCUGGAAAGCCGAAGAGAUUUGGCUGUGCUCGCAAGAGAACCGGAACACAGGUGCUGCAUGGCUGUCGUCAGCUCGUGUCGUGAGAUGUUGGGUUAAGUCCCGCAACGAGCGCAACCCUUGUCAUUAGUUGCUACGCAAGAGCACUUUAAUGAGACUGCCGGUGACAAACCGGAGGAAGGUGGGGAUGACGUCAAGUCCUCAUGGCCCUUAUGGGUAGGGCUUCACACGUCAUACAAUGGUCGGGACAGAGGGUCGCCAACCCGCGAGGGGGAGCCAAUCUCAGAAACCCGAUCGUAGUCCGGAUCGCAGUCUGCAACUCGACUGCGUGAAGUCGGAAUCGCUAGUAAUCGCGGAUCAGAAUGUCGCGGUGAAUACGUUCCCGGGUCUUGUACACACCGCCCGUCACACCAUGGGAGUGGGUUUCACCAGAAGU